rnacentral:rRNA from 1 species
CCUACGGGUGGCAGCAGUGGGGGAUAUUGCACAAUGGGGGGAACCCUGAUGCAGCGACGCCGCGUGGGUGAAGGAGCGUUUCGGCGCGUAAAGCCCUAUCGGCAGGGAAGAAGAUGACGGUACCUGACCAAGAAGCCCCGGCUAACUACGUGCCAGCAGCCGCGGUAAUACGUAGGGGGCAAGCGUUAUCCGGAUUUACUGGGUGUAAAGGGAGCGUAGGUGGCAAGGCAAGUCAGAUGUGAAAACCCGGGGCCCAACCCCGGGAGUGCAUUUGAAACUGUCUGGCUAGAGUGCAGGAGAGGUAAGUGGAAUUCCUAGUGUAGCGGUGAAAUGCAUAGAUAUCACGCAGAACUCCGAUUGCGAAGGCAGCAUACCGGCGCCCGACUGACGCUGAAGCACGAAAGCGUGGGUAUCGAACAGGAUUAGAUACCCCGGUAGUC